UCCAUCUUCUGAAUCUUCUUAAAUUUCAU
rnacentral:piRNA from 1 species